GCCAUCUCAGACAGCUGCUGGUCUAGGGCCGCCAUACGUUUCUCCACCUCCCUGGCCAGCAGAGGAACCCAGAAGGAGACAGUCUCCUUCCCCAGCUGGCCGGGUACAGAGAGAAGCUGGGCCAGCUCAGCCUGGUGACACAGAGACACACGCAUUCCUCUGAGAAAUUCACUGCUGAGAACAUGAUCUUGCAAAAUUGCAUCAACACACAACAUGUCCCUCUGCUCCCUGGCCAUCAGUUUCUGCCUGGCCUCCUUGUCCUCCAGCAGGCUGCGUACCUCCUGCCUCCGCUGUGCCACCUCC